rnacentral:rRNA from 1 species
UACAGAGGGUGCAAGCGUUAUUCGGAAUUACUGGGCGUAAAGCGCGCGUAGGCGGAUUGUUAAGUCAGUUGUGAAAGCCCUGGGCUCAACCUAGGAAUGGCGAUUGAAACUGGUAGUCUAGAGUUUAGUAGAGGGAAGGGGAAUUUCUGGAGUAGCAGUGAAAUGCGUAGAUAUCAGAAGGAACAUCAGUGGCGAAGGCGCCUUCCUGGACUAAAACUGACGCUGAGGUGCGAAAGCGUGGGGAGCAAACGGGAUUAGAUACCCCGGUAGUCCACGCCCUAAACGAUGUCAACUAGCUGUUGGUCUUAUUAAAAAGAUUAGUAGCGCAGCUAACGCGAUAAGUUGACCGCCUGGGGAGUACGGUCGCAAGAUUAAA